rnacentral:rRNA from 1 species
AAGUUUGAUCAUGGCUCAGAAUCAACGCUGGCGGCGUGCCUCAGACAUGCAAGUCGAACGAUUAAGACUUCCUUCGGGAAGUGCAUAAAGUGGCGCACGGGUGAGUAACACGUAAGUAAUCUACCCUCGAGUGGGGAAUAACGUUCGGAAACGGACGCUAAUACCGCAUAACGCAGCGGCACCGCAAGGUGACAGUUGUUAGAGGAGCAAUCCGCUUGAGGAGGAGCUUGCGGCAGAUUAGCUAGUUGGUAGGGUAAUGGCUUACCAAGGCUACGAUCUGUAUCCGGUCUAAGAGGACGGUCGGACACACUGACACUGAAUAACGGGUCAGACUCCUACGGGAGGCAGCAGUCGGGAAUUUUGGGCAAUGGGCGAAAGCCUGACCCAGCAACGCCGCGUGAAGGAUGAAGUAUUUCGGUAUGUAAACUUCGAAAGAAUAGGAAGAAUAAAUGACGGUACUAUUUAUAAGCUCCGGCUAACUACGUG